AAGUCGUAACAAGGUUUCCGUAGGUGAACCUGCGGAAGGAUCAUUAACACGUAUCCACGUUAACCAAUGUGAACCGUUUUCGCCCUCCCUUUGCUGCAGAUGAGUUGGAAUUCGUGAAAGCGCUGAUGAGGAGUUCGCAAGGACUCAACUUUCACGAAACACUUCGGCUUGCCGAGACAACUGGAUUGCAAUGAAGGCUCCUUCUUGAAGCUUUGAUUUCCAUCAUAAUCGUGGCUUUGAGAAAAUUAUAUUUACAAUUAUAACACUUUUUUGCUAGUUGACUUUUUUAUGUUGUUCUUUAUGCAAAUAAGGAUCACACGUUUAUUAAUUGAACGUUAAAAAUACAACUCUUAGCAAUGGAUGUCUAGGUUCUC
rnacentral:misc_RNA from 1 species